UACGGAGGGUGCAAGCGUUAUCCGGAUUCACUGGGUUUAAAGGGUGCGUAAGUGGCUUUGUAAGUCAGUGGUGAAAGCCCGGAGCUCAACUCCGGAACUGCCAUUGAUACUGCUUAGCUUGAAUCAGGUCGAGGUGGAUGGAAUAUUACAUGUAGCGGUGAAAUGCUUAGAUAUGUAAUAGAACACCGAUUGCGAAGGCAGUUCACAAGGCCUGUAUUGACACUGAGGCACGAAAGCGUGGGGAUCAAACAGG
rnacentral:rRNA from 1 species